AUGUCCCUCAUAAUGCAUCCAACCUCAUCAUAUCCACCGUAUUGCAUGCACAUAAUAUCCAUAAUAUGGUGUUUUAUGAUCCCAGAUUUUUCCAUGUCUGCAAUGUCCGCUUUCUGCUCAUCGCUAAUUCUUCUGUGUGAACGCAAAAGACACGACAGAUCCCGUGGGGCUAGAGGAUGGUUGUGUUCAUUAUUGAAAUCCUUGACAAACCACUGGCCUGUUUCCUCUUGUCUUGCAAUCACCAAUUUAGCUUUACACCCUACACGAGUUAUACUCCGUGCCUCCUCUUUCUAUCUUCCAUCUUCCACUUCAUGUGCUUCUCUUCAUGAACCCCUUCACGAAUACACACAAAUUUCCUUAAAAUUAUAUGGCAGUUGGAUCCAUCCCACUCGACAUAGCUUCUCCGGACACUAA
rnacentral:rRNA from 1 species